rnacentral:rRNA from 1 species
CAGCAGCCGGCGGUAAUACGAAGGGUGCAAGCGUUACUCGGAAUUACUGGGCGUAAAGCGUGCGUAGGUGGUGGUUUAAGUCCGUUGUGAAAGCCCUGGGCUCAACCUGGGAAUUGCAGUGGAUACUGGGUCACUAGAGUGUGGUAGAGGAUAGUGGAAUUUCCGGUGUAGCAGUGAAAUGCGUAGAGAUCGGAAGGAACAUCUGUGGCGAAGGCGACUAUCUGGGCCAACACUGACACUGAGGCACGAAAGCGUGGGGAGCAAACAGGAUUAGAUACCCCAGUAGUCCCUGUCUCUUAUA